AUGGGCGGCCGCGACCGCGACCGGGAGCUCCUCAUCCCCGUCUCUGCCGGCGGCGGGGGCGGCUCGGUCCCCCGCGCCGGGGACGACGACGACGACCUGGACAGGACCGUCGCCUCCCCCUCCGCCUCCGCCGCGCUCUCCUCCACCGGCCGCGAGGCUUUCCAUAAGGUGGUCCGCAGCUGGGCCUCAAAGAAAUUCAUGACUGGAUGUGUGAUUCUCUUCCCCAUAGCGAUAACAUUCUACUUCACCUGGUGGUUCAUUCAUUUUGUUGAUGGAUUCUUCUCUCCAAUCUAUGCACAAUUGGGUAUCAACAUUUUUGGUCUUGGCUUCAUCACUUCUGUUACUUUCAUAUUUUUCGUUGGGGUCUUCAUGUCAUCUUGGGUUGGAGCAUCUGUUCUUGGCAUUGGUGAAUGGAUCAUCAAGCGCAUGCCACUUGUGCGCCACAUCUACAAUGCAUCCAAGCAAAUUAGUGCUGCUAUAUCGCCAGAUCAAAACAAACAGGCAUUCAAGGAGGCAGUCAUCAUACGACAUCCUCGUAUUGGGGAAUAUGCAUUUGGAUUCAUUACCUCAUCAGUCUCGCUCCAGAGCUAUUCUGGUCAAGAGGACCUUUAUUGUGUCUAUGUGCCGACCAACCAUCUCUACAUUGGUGAUAUCUUCAUGGUGAACUCGAAGGAUGUGAUAAGGCCUAAUCUUUCUGUGCGUGAAGGCAUUGAGAUCGUUGUGUCUGGUGGUAUGUCAAUGCCCCAGAUUUUGUCGACCCUGGAUCCACAUCCAGAUCUGCAUGCAAUCCACACAGACCGAGGUGGAGCGAGCAGAAGCUGA
rnacentral:rRNA from 1 species